GAGAGUGCUGCUGGGAGGCCUGAUUUACGUAGUCCUAAAUAUUUUCCAGUAGUUUAGCUCAUUUGAGUCUUUCAGGAUUUUUAAAAAAUAAGUCACAUAUUACACACAAAUAUAAAUAUUCCCUAUUAUGCAUGAAUUCAUUUUAGCACAUAUCUGGCAAAUUGUAAUUGCUUGUGCUUCAGGUUUUUCUCCCGCUUUCUGUUAGGCUCUUCUCCUGACGUGUUUUUUAUGGGCUCUCCUUAUUCUAUUUUUUUCUUUUAUUUACCCAACAGACAUUGUUGAAAAGAGCCAACGGCUUCCUUUUCCAGGUCAUAGAGAUUUUACCUCAGUGGAAGAGUCAGACAAACAGGUAAAGAAAGAAACGUAUAAUGUCAGAAACUGGUAACUGCUAUAAAGAAAAAUCAAAGAAAGGUAAGAGGAUGGGGCAGAUCGAUGCUAUUUUAGAUAGCAAUCAGGGAAGUUCUUUCCGGGUAGGUGACGUUUGGGAACAGACCUGAAUGAAAUGAGGUUUUGGGAGAAGCUGGUGUUUUACAGACAGCCAAGGAGACAAGUGUGGCUGCGGAUUGAGGUGCCAGGGAGUGAGUGAGGGGAGAGGUGGCCUGAGAGAUGGGCAAGGGACAGACCACCAGGCCUGCCUAUAUUGGGAAAGAGAUAGCCUCUUCUAGACUAUUUUCCCUCAACUUGUGAUUUUUCUCCUCCUUUCAGACUCCCUUUUUUUUCUUUUUUUAAAUUAAUUUUUAUUGGAGUAUAGUUGCUUUACAAUAUUGCAUCAGACUCCUUUUAAGGAAACAAAGUGCUUGCAUAUAUAGUUUGCUCACUUUAAAUGUAAGGGAGUCUUUGCCAGUUGUCUCUAGAAGUUUCUUACAAUGGCACAUUCCGGUAUGGAGGUGUUGCUUUGUUCCCUUCGCAAGUAUUUUUUGGCGGAUAGGGUCAGUCCAAUUUUGUCUUAGAACUCUAUGGUGUCUUUAAGUGGUAGUUUAUGGUAGAAACUGUUCCAUUUGUCUGGUCCUAUCUCCUGGGUCGUUGGAGAAUAUUUUAAUGCGUAAGUAGAAAUUCUAGUUUAUGGGCCCCGUACCUUCAUUGUAUAAUAGUUUUCUCAUUUUUCUCUUAGUCCUUGGUUUUUAUUUUCCAGUCUGCUUCCUCCUUCACCACAUCCUUUUCAUAGAUCACCUUUUCAAUUUUUAGCAACUUUUUCCAUUUUUCUUGGCAUAACACUCAACAUGAGCAAGUGAGGUAAGAAACAUGUACACCCUCCUUAAAUUGAAAUACAAGCAUGUAUCUGUCAAACAUUUCUGCCUUAGGCAACGUCAGUCCCUGGUUUUGCCCUUUGUGGUUGGCAGUUUCUAAGAUGGCUCCGAUGAUCCUGCUUCCUGGUGUUCACACCCUCUGAAACUGCCUCCCUUUGAGCGUGGGCUGGACCCAGGGCCUUCCUUCUAACAGAGAGAAUGUGGCAAAAGCGAUGGGAUGUCAAAAAAUAUUCUGGCUCCUGUCUUGCUCGUUCUCUCCUCCUCUCAUUUGCUUGCUCUGAUCUGUGAGCUGCCCUAUGGAGAGGCCCACAUAGCAAGGAACUGAGGAAGGUGUCCAACUAACAACCAACAAGGAACCGAGUCCCUCAAUCCGAUGACCCAGGAGCAACUGGACCCUGUUAAUAUAACCACUUGAGUGACUGUGGAAGCAGAUCCUCCCCGAGUUGAGCCUUGAGAUGACUGCAGCCUUGCGAGAGCCCCAGAGUCAGAGGACUCAGCUAUGCCAUACCCAGAUUCCUGACCCGCACAAACUAAAGGAGUCACUCAGCUCCUUUAGGGGUUUCUUCCAGAGGAAAUUGUUCCACGUAUAGCUGUAGAUUUGGUGUGUACAUGAGAGGAGUCAUUAUUCUUUCCUGCACGUAGCACACAGAGGAGAGAUGAUGUCUGGAAGAAUCCGCCCCCCCUAGAAAAUGAGGGAUUACAGGAGUGGCUGUGGAGUCCUUUAACCCUGAGGGAUCCUGAAAAAAAUGGUAUGAGAACCCUGAGCAUCAAGAUAAAGAAUCAAACAAAAGGAGGAGGUGAAGGGAGAUGCUCUCAACCUCUGAGGAGUCAGCCCUGAGGAGACAGUGAGCUGGAAAGGGCUGGAGGGCACAAGUGCCUUGGCUUCAGAUACAAUUGCUUGUUGACAGAGAAUAGCCCCUGAGGCGGGUCCUGGGUGGUUCCACUCUGCCUGAAGCCUAGGAAACAUAUGUCUCUCUCUUGAUUUCUGAGAGGGGGCUAGGAAAGCCUAGACAGCUUGGAAAAUCUAAUUAAAAAUCUGUAAAAAAUCUUCCUAUCCUGGCAAGAUCAGAGAUGGCAGAGCCAACGUGGAGCCACAGUGAAGCUGCUGUGAAGAACAGGAAUUGCUGCAGGUGUGGGCAGUUGCAGCCACGUGUUGCUGGCCCGCCUGUGCACCUUUGCUGCCCUCAGAAGAUCUUGGCUACACCCUCCCAGUACCACAAGGCAGCUUCCCAAUCACAUUCUGAAUCUGUGCUCACGUUAAUUUGCCAGUGAGACUGAGCUGGCUAAUACACUACAGCUUCUUUUAAAAUGUGAGAGAACAUUUUCUCAGCCAACUGGCUGGUGUGUGUGUGUGUGUGUGUGUGUGUGUGUGUGUGUGUUUUCCUUAACUUUGUAUUUCAAUGGGUUUAUUAAGGUAUAAUUCACAUGUAAUAAACUACACGUUAAAGACGACACAUAUUUGACAAGUUUUGACAUAUACCCAUGAAACCACCACAGUGAAGAUAAUGAAUGUAUUCAUCGCCUGUAAUAAUUUCCUGUUGCCCCUUUAUCAUCCCUCCCUCCCACUCUUCAUCCACCUCCUUCUGCCAGACAUUCAUUUAUCUGAUUUCUGUCACUAUAGAUUAAAUUGUAGUU